rnacentral:rRNA from 1 species
GCGGGCGGCCUAAUACUUGCAAGUCGAGGGGUAGAGUUGGAGUAAUCUGACUUGAGACCGGCGCACGGGUGCGUAACACGUAUGCAACCUACCUCUUACUGGGGUAUAGCUCAAAGAAAUCUGAAUUAAUCCCCCAUAAUGUUAUUGAAUGGCAUCAUUUGAUAACUAAAGCUGAGGCGGUAAAAGAUGGGCAUGCGUUGUAUUAGCUAGUUGGUGAGGUAAUGGCUCACCAAGGCUACGAUACAUAGGGGUUCUGAAAGGAUGAUCCCCCACACUGGUACUGAGACACGGACCAGACUCCUACGGGAGGCAGCAGUAGGGAAUAUUGGUCAAUGGACGCAAGUCUGAACCAGCCAUGCCGCGUGCAGGAAGACGGCCCUCUGGGUUGUAAACUGCUUUUAUAUGGGAAGAAACCCCGGGAUGCGUUCCGGGCUGACGGUACCAUAUGAAUAAGGAUCGGCUAACUUCGUGCCAGCAGCCGCGGUAAGACGAAGGAUCCAAGCGUUGUCCGGAUUUACUGGGUUUAAAGGGUGCGUAGGCGGAAAAUUAAGUCAGUGGUGAAAGCCCGCAGCUCAACUGCGGAACUGCCAAUGAAACUGAUUUUCUUGAAUACGGUUGAGGUAGAUGGAAUAUAACAUGUAGCGGUGAAAUGCUUAGAUAUGUUAUAGAACACCAAUUGCGAAGGCAGUCUACUAAGCCGUCAUUGACGCUGAGGCACGAAAGCGUGGGGAGCGAACAGGAUUAGAUACCCUGGUAGUCCACGCCGUAAACGUUGAUUACUCGCUGUUGGCAAUACACUGUCAGCGGCUAAGCGAAAGCGUUAAGUAAUCCCCCUGGAGAAUACGACCGCAAGGUUG